AUUAAACAAAGAGCGUUGGAUUACUCUUUGUGAAACUAAUUAAAAAAAACGUGUUGGAGCUAAUAGAGUAUUGUUAACCAAUAAAAUUUGAAGAACCGCGCAAACGGCAUGUUAACCAACAUGGCUGUUUGCAGUCAAAUUAAAUUUGCCUGAGGGUAAUUUCGCCAUUUUCAGUGUUGGGGUGACGAGCUUCCGCCUCUGCUUGCUUUCUGCCGGUUUGACUGCGCUAGCUCUUUACUUGUGGUGUUGUGCGGUGUUUUGCGUACCAGCAUCACAUUACAAGGGUACAUGAUGAAACCUGUUGAUACUAAAUGGAGUACUGAAACUUAAAGGCAUCAAAUAUAGAACCAGAAACCAGCCCCUCUAAUACUAAAAUAAAGCUUGGAAGUGGGAAGCUGUGACAAAGUUCAGGUCUUGCUAUCUUAGUAGGUUUCAUCUGAGACCAAGUGUGACGCCCCGCGUCACUACCCAUUAAAUUCCUCAUGUUUUGAGCAUGAUUCCAAGCAUUUCGGGUGUAUUUUCGAGCUCAAUGAGGCUUCCGCAAUGUCAAUUGACAAUGCCAACGUGGAGGCAUCUUUGGGAGGUCAAAUUACAAGCAUGGGUCAACAUUUACCUUGUCUUUGAACCUUGAUCAGCAGCUGAACAGAAAAAUAGGUUGCCAGACAAAGGCCUUUCACUAGUUGCUUGGAUUGCAUGGAAGUUUGACUAGCUUGUUGUGGAUCAUUUGUGUAGUCAUUUUCUAGCAUUUAUUGUGCCCUUUGACUUAGGGACUAGAAAUAUAUCUUGUAAAGCCCUCUUGGGCAGCAUCCAUAUACUGGUAUUACUCAAGAAAUAUAUCAGAAAAUUGGCUCUUCGGGCCUCCCAAAA